rnacentral:rRNA from 1 species
AUUGAACGCUGGCGGCAGGCCUAACACAUGCAAGUCGAGCGGAUGAAGGGAGCUUGCUCCUGGAUUCAGCGGCGGACGGGUGAGUAAUGCCUAGGAAUCUGCCUGGUAGUGGGGGAUAACGUCCGGAAACGGGCGCUAAUACCGCAUACGUCCUGAGGGAGAAAGUGGGGGAUCUUCGGACCUCACGCUAUCAGAUGAGCCUAGGUCGGAUUGGCUAGUUGGUGGGGUAAAGGCCUACCAGGGCGACGAUCCGUAACUGGUCUGAGAAGAUGAUCAGUCAAAGUAGGACUGAGACACGGUCCAGACUCCUACGGGAGGCAGCAAUGGGGAAUAUUGGACAAUGGGCGAAAGCCUGAUCCAGCCAUGCCGCGUGUGUGAAGAAGGUCUUCGGAUUGUAAAGCACUUUAAGUUGGGAGGAAGGGCAGUAAGUUAAUACCUUGCUGUUUUGACGGUACCAACAGAAUAAGCACCGGCUAACUUCGUG